CACAUGUUCUAAAGGCUCCGCGUGCCACCUGGCCCCGAGGUCAACGAGAGUCCACGCCCGGUGGAGGUGGUCUCAAAGUGUACUGCGAGGUCCGGGAGGAGAGCUAGCCCGAAGUGAUCCUCACGUUCAUUUUCCAGGAGUGCUCAUGGGAGAGAUCUGGCAGGUUUUACUAUUUCCCAAUUGUUUACUCGCCAAGCUUUCGGGUCCACGCGCCUCCCAGCUGCGCCUCGCACGCUGAACUUCAUUCAAAGGCCAGGCAGGGCGGCCCACGAGGUCGCGAAUGGGCUUGUGGAUGACCUCCAGGCUACUUCCUCCCUCCUGGCGCCCUUCCCCCACUCCUCCAACCACCUUCUGAGAACACGUAGCGACUCCGAAGAUCAGCCCCAAUGAACAUGUCAGUGUUGACUUUACAAGAAUAUGAAUUCGAAAAGCAGUUCAACGAGAAUGAAGCCAUCCAAUGGAUGCAGGAAAACUGGCACAUGCAGGCAGCCUCUCUCAUCCUCUUAGAGUGCAGUUGGCAGGUCUCAGGAGGGCCUCAGACAGGUGGGAAAGCUCUGCUUUCUGCGCCUUGGUCCUGUCCUACGUUUUGUGAGGCUGGCUCCCUAAACCUUGGAUUUCAGUCAGACGCAGCUCCUCACCUUCAGUCAUCCUCAGUCCUGCUCCUCUUCCGGCUGGAGAUCACAACCGAGCUCUGGUGUGAUGUUUCCAGUUUGCCUUCCUGCUUGUGCCACUGCCGGUCUCUCCUGUUACUCAACGGCCUCCUCUUGAGCAUUAGAAUCUAAGUCUCAGGUUUGAUUACACCAUUUCUGUGCUUUAAAACUUUUAGUGAUUUCCCAUUGUUUACUGGAUGAAUACAAUUGUUUUGAGAAACUCUUCAACUCCCUGACCUUAAUAAAGUUACCUGCUUCUGUGGCCUGUCAGAAUCUAUUGUUCUGUCCCGUGGUUUGCUCUUCUAAAAAGAUUACUGUUUUUACUAAGUCUGUGCCCACCACAGUAUUUAUCAAUAGUUACACACAUUUGUGUAUUGACUGGAAGAAUAGAUAUGUACAUCGAUGCCCAGGGCUCUUGUCCAAGUAUCUGAUCGUUAUCUGAUUGAUCUUUUUAUUUCCUUAGUGGUGGAAGACUCUUCAGUGUCUUGAAAAAGCACAUCUUAAUUGUGUCAGCAGG